rnacentral:rRNA from 1 species
CCUACGGGGGGCAGCAGUGGGGAAUAUUGGGCAAUGGGCGCAAGCCUGACCCAGCAAAGCCGCGUGAAGGAAGAAGGCUUUCGGGUUGUAAACUUCUUUUAUCAGGGACGAAGAAAGUUACGGUAGCUGAUGAAUAAGCCACGGCUAACUACGUGCCAGCAGCCGCGGUAAUCAGUAGGUGGCAAGCGUUAUGCGGAUUUACUGGGUGUAAAGGGCGUGUAGGCGGGAGGGCAAGUCAGAGGUGAAAACUCUGGGCUCAACCCAUAGCCUGCAUUUGAAACUGUACUUCUUGAGUGCUGGAGAGGCAAUCGGAAUUCCGUGUGUAGCGGUGAAAUGCGUAGAUAUACGGAGGAACACCAGUGGCGAAGGCGGAUUGCUGGACCGUAACUGACGCUGAGGCUCGAAAGCGUGGGGAGCAAACAGGAUUAGAUACCCUAGUAGUC